rnacentral:rRNA from 1 species
UACGUAGGGGGCAAGCGUUGUCCGGAAUUAUUGGGCGUAAAGCGCUCGCAGGUGGUUCGAUGCGUCGUGCGUGAAAGCCCCCGGCUCAACUGGGGAGUGUCGUGCGAUACGGUCGAACUGGAGGCCAGUAGGGGGAUGCGGAAUUCCGGGUGUAGUGGUGGAAUGCGUAGAGAUCCGGAGGAACACCAGCGGCGAAGGCGGCAUCCUGGACUGGUCCUGACACUCAUGAGCGAAAGCGUGGGGAGCGAUCCGG